ACUAGGUUCUGGGUCCUCCAAGAAAGAAGGAGCCAAGGGAGGCCCAAACUGCCAUGAGUUUGGGCUGAACUCCUUCUGUAUCCUGGCCUUGUGCUGCAGUUUCUCAGCCCCAGCUGAUGAGGUACACAGUUGUUGGGGGGAAAUCAAGCCAAAUAUUUAAGAAAGUCAGAAUAUAGAGUUGAAUUUAGGUUUCUUUAUUUUACAGAGGUAGAAACCGAGGCCUCAAGAGAAGACAUGCUAGGCCUGGAGGGUGGGUGGAGUAGAAGAGGCAGGCUGGGUAUCAUCCCGUGGACCCUCCCAGGGAGCACCUGGCAGUGAUUCCAGCACAGAACAGGGGAAGGGUGGUGAAAGGUGAAGAUGUUUACAUGACCAGCCAUUUAGGAAGCAGGUACCCCAUACUAGGCAGGAUGCUAAGUACUCUGCAUAUGUUUUGUCAUUUAAUUGUCACAACCUCAUUUAGGUAGUUGCAUUAAAACUCUCUUACAGAUGAAGAAGACUGAUGUUCUGGGAAGGUCACUGGGUGGCCUCUAGGAUUCCUGAGUCUGCAGUGCAUGGCUGAAUGUGAGCAGCACCUAGGCUGAGUCUGCCCCUCCCUCUGGUCUCCUUCCAACCCCUCAAGGGACUGAUGGAAAACUGAGUGGGUCCUGCCUCUUCCCCUGCCUGGGGGUACCUCUGCAGCAUCAUUGUCAGUGGUGACCACCAAAAUUAUCCAGUUCCAGCAUGGUCAAGAAGCUGAAUGUUCUCCUGCAGCCCCCAGGGUACCACGCACGGGGCUGGGCACACUGCAGGCUCCCAACAUAUGGAGAAGGCAGGGAAGCCAUCCUCUCCCAGGAAGGACAGAGUGUCCCUCCGUCCAGCCACUCUGCCUGCCUCCUCCAGCAGGACAUCAUAGAAAUCACAGCAUCUUGGGACAGACAGACAAACGCCUGAUCUCUAUGGCUGGGUUGUGGAGAGGACAGUGAGAAGAGACUACAAGGAGUAAAACAGUAGCAGAGACAAGGAGGGGGCUCCCCUGCAACCCCUGAGCUCUGGCCCACACCUCCUUUUCUCCCACGCGUUCCCUCCAGGGCAUCUCAGAUCCAUUCAACUGUGUGGGUUGAAUGGCAGCCCUCAAAAUAUACGUCCUCGCGCUAAUCCCCAGCCCCUAUGAAUGGGACCUAAAAGGGUCUUUGCAGAUGUGAUUAAAUUAAAGAACUUGAGAUGAGAUCAUCCUGGAUUACCCGGGUGGGCCUUAAAUCCAAUGACAAGUAUCCUUAUGAAGUGACACAAAAGAGAGAGACAGAGGAGAGGUGAGGGGAGACGGAGGCCAGGAUGGGAGUGACGCUGCCACAGCUGAGCAUCAUCUGAGACAACAGGAGCUGGAAGAGGCAAAGAGGGACUCUCCUCUAGAGUAUCUGGAGGGAGUGUGGCCCUGAUACCUUGAUCCUGGUCUCCAGAACUGUGAAAAUAAAUGCCCACUGUCUUA
rnacentral:lncRNA from 1 species